AUUUUUCAUUUUUCAUCACAUUGCGUGUGAUUUAGUAAUUGAUUUCAUUCCAAGAAUAUCCAACAAGUAUUUUAGAAUCAUUACUUUUGUGUUGUUUUUUUUUCCUUUGUGCUUUAACACUUGGAUAAUCAACAGAGAAUGGAUUCGAUGAGGAAAAACCCUGCUGUUGCAGCAUCAAAUGAGGAAGAUUCAAACCAGGAGAAGAUGAAACAUUUGGCCCGUAGUAAUUCUCAAGCUAUUAGUUUAAUUGAAGAACUCAUUGGAGAAAACAAUUACUUAAAGGACAAAAAGAAACAACUGGCCAAGCCCCAAACGUAAGCAAUACUGUACUCCCGUGAAAAUACAAUUGACGGGCAACACCCUCCAAAUUUUGGUCGAAUUGGUCAAUUUAAAGGAUCAGUUAGAAAAAAAAUAGUAGGCAUGAUAAGUGAAGACACUCGUGAACGGGAUUUCAAAUUCAAAUUUCCAAAUUCCAAGGAAUAAUUCCUAACUGUCGAGUGUCGAAGUCGAGCAAGGAGCAACCGAACUUUCCUCCUACAACUCAAAACAAAUAA